UGAGUAAUAUUGGUCAAUGGGCGAGAGCCUGAACCAGCCAAGUAGCGUGCAGGAUGACGGCCCUAUGGGUUGUAAACUGCUUUUAUGUGGGGAUAAAGUGCGUGACGUGUCAUGCAUUGCAGGUACCACAUGAAUAAGGACCGGCUAAUUCCGUGCCAGCAGCCGCGGUAAUACGGAAGGUCCGGGCGUUAUCCGGAUUUAUUGGGUUUAAAGGGAGCGUAGGCUGUCUAUUAAGCGUGUUGUGAAAUUUACCGGCUCAACCGGUGGCUUGCAGCGCGAACUGGUCGACUUGAGUAUGCAGGAAGUAGGCGGAAUUCAUGGUGUAGCGGUGAAAUGCUUAGAUAUCAUGACGAACUCCGAUUGCGCAGGCAGCUUACUGUAGCAUAACUGACGCUGAUGCUCGAAAGUGCGGGUAUCAAACAGG
rnacentral:rRNA from 1 species